UUUACAAAAGUCUGAUGGAGAUAUGCUGCUCUAUACAUGCUAAAAGUAGUGAUUAUUUACAUGGAGUCUGGUGGAGAAAUGCUACUCUAUACAUGCUAAAAGUAGUGAUUAUUUACAUGGAGUCUGGUGGAGAUAUGCUACUCUAUACAUGCUACAAGUAGUGAUUAUUUACAUGGAGUCUGGUGGAGAUAUGCUGCUCUGUACACACUAAAAGUAGUGAUUAUUUUCAUGUAGUCUGGUGGGAGAUGUGCUGCUCUACACAUGCUAAAAGUAGUGAUUAUUUACAAAGAGUCUGGUGAGAUAUGCUGCUCUAUACAUGCUAAAAGUAGUGAUUAUUUACAUGGAGUCUGGUGGAGAAAUACUACUCUAUACAUGCUAAAAGUAGUGAUUAUUUACAUGGAGUCCUGGUGGAAAUAUGCUGCUCUAUACACGCUGAAAGUAGUGAUUGUUUGCA